GGGGGCGAAACGGCUUCGACGGGGGCAUGGGGUCGCGGGAUGCAUGCCGAGCGCCACCUGCUCGUAAAUCCGGUGGAACAACCAUAACUGCGAACACGCAGCUCGCUCUCGCGGCUUAAGUAACCGCGACGUCCACCUCGUCCGUGCCUGCGCGGCGGGACUGGAUGUCAUUUCAGCAGGCUGGCCGCGCCGGGCGCUCUGGACCGUGCGUGGCGAGACGCUUUCGGAGAUAGCGGCUGGCGGUUUUCGCCUCUUUUCCAGGCCGGCUGCGAAAUCACAGAAGAGGACAUGCAUGUAGAGUCCCCCGAUGACGUGCUUUCGGACGCGGGUUCAACUCCCGCCGCCUCCACCA
rnacentral:tmRNA from 2 species